AGGAGCCAAUUUACCUUGCUCAGUAGGCUUUGAAACUUUAGCUCGUCUCAGGAUGAGGUCACCCUUCUGAAAUGACUUCGACUUUACUCGAGCAUUGUAAUACUUAGCAAUUCUUUGCUUAUAGGUUGCCAUUCUGAUAUGGGCCUAUUUUCUUACCUCAUCAAGAAGAUCAAGGUCGGUCCUCAAUCGAUCAGAGUUGGUUGCCUCAUGAAAAUUUAUGACUCUGUUAGACAAUAAACCAAUCUCUAUCAGGAUUGCAGCUUCAGUCCCAUAAG
rnacentral:lncRNA from 1 species